rnacentral:rRNA from 1 species
CCUAGGGUGGCAGCAGUCGGGAAUAUUGCGCAAUGGAGGAAACUCUGACGCAGUGACGCCGCGUGCAGGAAGAAGGUUUUCGGAUUGUAAACUGCUUUAGACAGGGAAGAAAAAAGACAGUACCUGUAGAAUAAGCUCCGGCUAACUACGUGCCAGCAGCCGCGGUAAUACGUAGGGAGCAAGCGUUAUCCGGAUUUAUUGGGUGUAAAGGGUGCGUAGACGGAGAAGCAAGUUAGUUGUGAAAUCCCUCGGCUUAACUGAGGAACUGCAACUAAAACUACUUCCCUUGAGUACUGGAGAGGAAAGUGGAAUUCCUAGUGUAGCGGUGAAAUGCGUAGAUAUUAGGAGGAACACCAGUGGCGAAGGCAUCUCACGAAUCCGCGAUUGACGCUGAUGCACGAAAGCGUGGGUAUCAAACAGGAUUAGAUACCCUAGUAGUC